rnacentral:sRNA from 1 species
GGGAUUAAAGACUGGGAAGCAUGGCUGUAGGGAUACAGAGAAUCUGCUGGUGUUUAGGGUCCGUGAAGGGCAGAGUAGUGGGAAAUAAGGCUGGAAAGCAGGCUAGGAAGUUUGGACUUAUUGGGCAGGCAGUGGAGAGCCAUGAAAAGAUCUUGAGCAUGGGAGUGAUAUGAUAGGAAAAGGCAGAUGAGUCCCUGCCGGUGGGAUCCAAUGUCUGAGAAUGUCACCUUCUCUUGCAGGUGCUGCUCCCGGCAGCCAGCUUGCUGCAGCUCAUGGAUGUUCGGCAGAACUGCUGUGACUUCCUGCAGUCUCAGUUGCAUCCCACCAAUUGCCUGGGCAUCCGUGCGUUUGCAGAUGUGCACACCUGCACUGACCUUCUGCAGCAGGCCAAUGCCUACGCAGAGCAGCACUUUCCAGAGGUGAUGCUAGGAGAAGAAUUUCUUAGCCUGAGUCUGGACCAGGUGUGCAGCUUGAUAUCCAGCGACAAGCUGACCGUUUCUUCAGAAGAGAAGGUGUUUGAAGCUGUGAUCUCAUGGAUCAAUUAUGAGAAAGGAACCCGUUUAGAGCACAUGGCAAAGCUGAUGGAACAUGUCCGACUUCCUCUCUUACCUAGGGACUACCUAGUCCAAGUGAGUCUUGGUUGUAUGAAGAGCCAAGCACUUCUGUGUUCACCCAGGCCUCUAGGAAUAGCAAUGGGCAAUCCUGGUUGGAUGGAGUAGUUGAGGGGUUUAGUUGGUCUUCUGUAUGUGCUGAGGGAACCAGCCCACUGGGUUAAGUGUUAGGUGUUGUAAAGUUUAAGAGCAUAGGCUUGAAAAUAGGACACUUAGGUUUCAGUCUCUGCUCUGCUGCUUAUUAGUUUUGGAUUUUUAUUUAACCUCUUCAAGCCUCAGUUUUUCUUCCAUAGAACAGAUAUUAUAGUAGAGCCCAGCAGGGUUGUUGUGAGGACUAAAGGAGUAGAGUAUGCAAGUCAGCUGUUUCGUGUGGAGCCUGGGGUAACAAAUGUUCCAUGAAAGUUAGCUGUCUUUGUUGAAGAGGACUGAAGCAAGAAGGGUCAUGUCCACAAUGUUUCUGUGUUCCCUUUUUGUCUUAGUUUUAGGCAACUUGAAGCCAAAUUCAAGACUGUAAAAACAGUACCUAGAAUACAGAGUACUUCCACUUCCUCUGAAAAGGAAAGAAAAAUUAAGAAUUAUGGGGUUCCCUUAUGGUGCCAUAUGUUUUCUCAUUUAAUUCUUAUAAUAACCCUAAGGGGCAAAGAUUGUAACUCCUUUUUUACACAUGUAAGCCUUGAGGCUUAUGGAGGUUGGGAUUUAUUGGGGGUCACCAGCCUUAGGGAGGCUCAGGAUUCAAAUCCAUGUCAGUCUGGCUCUGAAGUGCAUAGUUCUUCCGCUAAGCUAGCUGCCACCAUUGGUACGCUCUUUUCUGCAUACCCAUUGCAUGACUUAUUUUAUAUAGUAAAUGGCAUUAGACACUUUUAUAAGCAGAGAAUAAACCUUAAAAUAUAUAAACAAAACAAAACAUUGAGACAGCAGGUUAGCCCUCAGCUGUCUCCAAGGAGUCUCUGGAAGGAAGGGAAGGUAUGCUGCAAGGAUAAAGAGGAGGUUUAGCAGCCUAGCAGCCCAGCAGCCCAGCUCUUGUUACUUUCCAGCCAUAAUACUGGGUACAUACUUAACCUUUUUAAACCUCAGUUUUCUUAUCUGGAAAAAAUGGCACUUGCCUUUAUAGGAUUGUUUGGGGAUAAACAAUAAAAUAAGAUAAUCCAUGUAGGCCUAUAAUACAGUGUUCAGUGAAUGUUACUGAUCUUACUCGGUAGUCUUUGUGACCACUGCUGUGAUUCUU